AAAUUGAAGAGUUUGAUCAUGGCUCAGAUUGAACGCUGGCGGCAGGCCUAACACAUGCAAGUCGAACGGUAACAGAAAGCAGCUUGCUGCUUUGCUGACGAGUGGCGGACGGGUGAGUAAUGUCUGGGAAACUGCCUGAUGGAGGGGGAUAACUACUGGAAACGGUAGCUAAUACCGCAUAACGUCGCAAGACCAAAGAGGGGGACCUU
rnacentral:rRNA from 4 species